rnacentral:rRNA from 1 species
UACAGAGGGGGGCAAGCGUUUAUUCGGAAUUAUUGGGCGUAAAGGGCGCGUAGGCGGCCUGGCAAGUGGAAGGUGAAAUCCCUCGGCUUAACCGAGGAACUGCCCUCCAAACUGCUUGGCUUGAGUCCGGGAGAGGUGAGUGGAAUUCCCCAGUGUAGCGGUGAAAUGCGUAGAUAUUGGGAGGAACACCAGUGGCGAAGGCGGCUCACUGGACCGGAACUGACGCUGAGGCGCGAAAAGCGUGGGGAGCAAACGGG